AUGUCAUCGUCACAUCUGCCCCUGUGUGCAGGAGGUGGGAGGAGAGCCUACCGUGGAAGCAGCGGCUCUCACCCAGAACCAGACUCCCACUCUGAAGCCUGGGACUUUGUGGCCUCAGAUGCACAAGAGUUUGUGGCUGAGGCUGCAUUGCAGGGGGCGCUGUACAUCAGCUUCAGGAAGGAGCCAGUGAGGCUUAUUGGAAACGCCUAUUUCAUGGGGAUAGGGUUGGAACAGGAGGUCAGUGAUGACCCGGCUGCAGUGAGCCAUGAGACUUCAAAUGCUCUUCACGGCUUGGAGGAGUGGAUCCUGGAGUGGACGUGCAGGCUCCUUUUCCUGCUGGUGGCUGCCCCAGGUGUCCACUCACAAAUCCAGCUGCUGCAGUCUGGCGCUGAGCUGAAGAGGCCUGGAGAGUCAGUGAAGGUGUCCUGCCAAGGCUCCGGCUACACCUUCACUGACUAUGGUAUAAACUGGGUGAAACAGGCGCCAGGGAAAGGCCUGCUAUGGAUGGGCUGGAUCAACACCCAAACCGCAAAGCCCACAUAUGCUGAGGGCUUCACAGGACGAUUCACCUUCUCCCUGGAUGCCUCUGUCAGCACAGCAUAUCUGCAGAUCAGCAGCCUGCAGGCUGAAGACACAGCCGUGUAUUACUGUGCGAGACACAGUGGGAGCCACAGGGCUGAACAGUGAGGAUGGGGGCGCGGCACAGUGCUCUGCGGUUAG